rnacentral:ncRNA from 2 species
UACGGAGGGUGCAAGCGUUAAUCGGAAUUACUGGGCGUAAAGCGCGCGUAGGCGGCUUGUUAAGCUAGAUGUGAAAGCCCAGGGCUCAACCUUGGAACUGCAUUUAGAACUGGCAGGCUAGAGUACAGCAGAGGGGUGUGGAAUUUCAGGUGUAGCGGUGAAAUGCGUAGAGAUCUGAAGGAACAUCAGUGGCGAAGGCGACACUCUGGGCUGAUACUGACGCUGAGGUGCGAAAGCGUGGGGAGCAAACAGG